rnacentral:rRNA from 1 species
UAGCCGACCUGAGAGGGCUGACCGGCCACAUUGGGACUGAGACACGGCCCAAACUCCUACGGGAGGCAGCGAGUGGGGAAUAUUGCACAAUGGGGGAAACCCUGAUGCAGCGACGCCGCGUGAGCGAUGAAGUAUUUCGGUAUGUAAAGCUCUAUCAGCAGGAAGAAUAAUGACGGUACCUGACUAAGAAGCACCGGCUAAAUAC